rnacentral:rRNA from 1 species
GCAAGUCGAACGGACUCUUCGGAGUUAGUGGCGCACGGGUGAGGAACACGUGGGAACAUACCCUUUGGUAGGGAAUAAUGUCUGGAAACGGACACUAAUGCCCUAUAAUGACUACGGUCCAAAGAUUUAUCGCCAAAGGAUUGGCCCGCGCAUGAUUAGAUAGUUGGUGAGGUAAUGGCUCACCAAGUCUGCGAUCAUUAGCUGGUCUGAGAGGAUGAUC